UGGCUGCCUAACAUACUCGUGCCGUAGAGGUGGUGGUAUAAUGUCCUGCUGCGAGAGCUUGCCCUACCCUCAGUUGUCAGCACGUAAUAGGUGGGCACUCUGAUAGGGACUGCCCGCUCGAAGCUGACAGGAGAAGAGGGGAUGAUCUCAUGAUCUUGAUGGGCCUUACCUGCACGGUUACCCACCUGCUACCCUGGCGCGCACAGUGUGUCACGACCCCGUGACGGGCACCCAAUCACGAAAAGUUGGUCAUCAGUUCGGACCUCAGGUUGCUCCUUCACUGAGUCAAUGUGGACUCGCUAUCAGUUGCGCAUCAGCGAUGCAGCGUCGAUUACGGUCCCGGAACUUG
rnacentral:rRNA from 1 species